CUUUAAAAUUCCUUUCUAGAUCUGUGUUUCAUAAAUUUGGGAAGAAGGAAAAUUAACAACUAAUAACGAACCAAGUUGAUGACCACCACUGCGAGUUUCACCAUGCCAUCUCUUUCUGUUUUUGUGUCGCCCCUGUCCUUCAAUGUCAUCAUUGCCGCCGCCGCCCCUAACUCUUCCAUUAUGACCAUUAUUUAAGCUUGAUUUAAAUUUUUUCCUAAAAUCCUAAUUUUUUUUCCUAAAAUCGUUUGCUUUGAAUAUCUCUUUUAGGUUUGACUACAUUUAUUCCCUAAAAUCAAGAUUUGUAACCAAAAUCGCAAGGUGUAUACAAUUGCAAAGAAUAAUGAGAAUGAUCUGAAAUCAUGCGAUAACAAAGAGACACCUCACUUGAACAAAAUUUGUAGUACUGCUAGAAGGGUGGCAGCCCUAGCAGCUGAAAGGGGCUGGAGAGUUUACUUGUAUGAUGAACAUGGGUCAACGGCAGAAGCCAAAAGCCAUAUGAUUUCCAAGUUGGAGGAUGUGGGCUAUGCAGUUGGUGCUCGAGUAUUGGAACUUUUUUGUCACUGAGAGAAGGGAAAUAGACGAGAGACACAAUUAUUAGGCAUUCCGUCAUUUGUACACACCACAAUUUGGAAGGUUUUGUUUGGAAAGGUGUAAAGGCAGCCAUCUAGAAAAGGACUACAUGGUGGAGUGAAGUUGGCCAAUGUAGAAAAGCAUUGCAUUGUGUUUAGCGACCUAAGCAACAAGAUCCAAUCAGAAUAUUCUCGGAUGUUGUUAUUACAGCGAAGCAAUGAGACUUAGCGUAGAGAAUGAUUUGAGAUUCUUGGCGAAAGAAAUGGUUGUUAACUGAUAUGUGUUUAUGUAAAAUGUAUGUAUACGUGAAAUGAUGAAUUUAUGCAAAUGUUUGGCGAAAUAAUGAUGUUUACAAAAGGUUUUUCGUGAAAAAGAUUUCAUAAAACCUCCUUGAGUCUUUUAAACUUAUGUUUUAAAGUUUUAUCUUCCAAGUUCCAAGUGUUAAGGCCAGGUAGGGGAAAGGUGAAAGGGCUUGCUAUGCGAGA